GUGAAAUAGCCUCUUCAAUAGUAUGUCUGAUUAUCAUCAAAAAAAUAUGUAUAAAUGGUAAAGACAAUUCUUUGAUAUCUUGAACUAAGUAUACAUGUAUAUGGCAACUAAGAUAUAUAUAUAUAUAUCUUGAAAUAAGGGUAGGUUAUCCAUACUUGUGCCAGCAUAGUAACAUGCCUAUGCAUCUUCUCAUUAUGUAAAAUCUGCCUCUAUACUCUUUUAAAGCACAACUGCAUUUUCUUCCAAAUCUCCAAC
rnacentral:lncRNA from 1 species